rnacentral:ribozyme from 14 species
AAAAAAAAAGAAAGAAAAAAAAAGCGAGAAAAGGCAAGGGGCAGGCUGUCAAAGCAGUUUAUCAAUUUGGUGUUUUUUUGUUUGUU